rnacentral:piRNA from 1 species
CUGCAAGCAUCUGUUAAUAAAGG